UGUCUUAACAACAGAAUUCUUCAGAUAGGUUUGUGCCGAAUGUACAGGUCAAAAUGGUGGUCGAACCUGAACCCCUAUCUUCUGCCAGCAUACACACACAACACACACGACGCACGUACGGACAAAGGAAACAAAGACAUUCUUUUCUUUACUAUAAAAUUCAAUAAGGCUUUAGGAUCGUUCUAAGAAAAAUAUUUCCUUGUCUCUAUUAGUACAAUUGAAUCCUUGAUGAUUUUCCAUAAGAACACCAUAAUCUUUCAAAUAUAUUUAUCGUAGCAUAGUAUAUAUAAUUAAAAAUUUCGUAUACCGUUAUAGUCAAACAAUUAUAACGCCUGCUUGCAUUUCAUGUCAUUAGAUCAUUCCAAAGCGCGUGUUGUCAUAUAUCACAGUCGAAACAUGCAAAUGCUUGCCUCUGCAGGAAUUGUUGAUUAAUAUAUACAUAGUAUGAUCAGCUUAAUCGCGACAUUCUACUUUCCAGUCCAUUUAAGUAGAAUUUACGGAUUCGAUUGAAAUACUGUUGGUAACGUAGUUGGAAUGAUUUAUGUUCAUAACGUUAGAUUCUACAUUUGAGAUAGGGAUUCUCAACCUUCUCGAAGUUAAAACAAGAUUAAUUUCUAUAGAUGAUAUUUUUGUACAACGAUACAAAUUAAUAAGGAAUGUUUAAAAAUCUUAAUCAGCUAUUAAUCCCGAUUAGAACUAGUUUUAAUAGAUUCUAAGUCUAAGGGCUCUAAACCCAAUCGUGACGACACUGUUGCCCUCGGUAUUCCCUUCUACACUCCCUCCACUUCCUUACCCGCUCAUUCUAUCCGACGAGUAUAACCUACUCGGUACCACCCAUUCAUCCGGCAGUUUUUGCCUACCGGUUUAACGAACCUGUACGCUUCGUUCCAGUUCCAUUCAGCUCGCUCCUUUUUUUGCGCCUCAGCGACAAUUCUCGUCUGCUCGCGAAAUCAUUGCUGAUGAAUGGAGGAGAAUAAAACAAGAGCUAAUAUCACCAAAAAAAAAAUCUAAAGAAAUUCUUGAAUAAACACAAUAUCAUGAUACAUGAUUGGAUUAUACAUACCUAAGAAACGUAAUCGAUCCUCCCUACCUGUCGAAACGGAAAUGGCUAUUUAUAGACGACGAAUGCUUCUUGAAUUCUUACGAGUUGCGAGAAAGGACGGUUAUGAAGUUGAAACGUCCGGAUAUAUCCCCCGAAAGCUUCUUACGUUAAACAGGAAAGACAUACAUAUAUACAUAUAUAUAUAUAUAUAUAUAUAUACAUAUACAUAUAGAAUCGUCAUGCUCUCUCGAACAUAGCGAUAUAGCGGAGAACAGUUCGAUAACCGUUAAGCAUGCUAGUCAUUUCAAGUUGCAGAAUCUCUUUUUCUCUCUAUUUCCCUAUUUUUUCUCUUUUUUACUAAAACUGAUAAAACAAUCGAUAAAAGAUAUCGAUAUCAUAUAAAUAGAUUAAUACUAUACAUAUGUUAAAAAUGUAGACAAGCUUCUUAUAAGGUAGUCACGUAUGUUAAAUAUUCGUCACAAAGAGAAGAUAACGCAUUUGGAUAAAGUAUAUCCUGGUCGAGAGAUACAGUCUUCUCGGUAGUUACAGAUAAGACUGAGCCGACUCUACUCAACGAAGGAAACUGGUCGCAUUUUC